rnacentral:rRNA from 2 species
UGGAUUGAGAGCUUGCUCUCAAGAAGUUAGCGGCGGACGGGUGAGUAACACGUGGGUAACCUGCCCAUAAGACUGGGAUAACUCCGGGAAACCGGGGCUAAUACCGGAUAAUAUUUUGAACUGCAUGGUUCGAAAUUGAAAGGCGGCUUCGGCUGUCACUUAUGGAUGGACCCGCGUCGCAUUAGCUAGUUGGUGAGGUAACGGCUCACCAAGGCAACGAUGCGUAGCCGACCUGAGAGGGUGAUCGGCCACACUGGGACUGAGACACGGCCCAGACUCCUACGGGAGGCAGCAGUAGGGAAUCUUCCGCAAUGGACGAAAGUCUGACGGAGCAACGCCGCGUGAGUGAUGAAGGCUUUCGGGUCGUAAAACUCUGUUGUUAGGGAAGAACAAGUGCUAGUUGAAUAAGCUGGCACCUUGACGGUACCUAACCAGAAAGCCACGGCUAACUACGUGCCAGCAGCCGCGGUAAUACGUAGGUGGCAAGCGUUAUCCGGAAUUAUUGGGCGUAAGCGCGCGCAGGUGGUUUCUUAAGUCUGAUGUG